rnacentral:rRNA from 1 species
AGAGUGAACGCUGGCGGUAGGCCUAACACAUGCAAGUCGAACGGCAGCACGGUAAGAGCUUGCUCUUAUGGGUGGCGAGUGGCGGACGGGUGAGGAAUACAUCGGAAUCUACCUUUUGGUGGGGGAUAACGUAGGGAAACUUACGCUAAUACCGCAUACGCCCUUCGGGGGAAAGCCGGGGACCAGCAAUGGCCUGGCGCUGAUAGAUGAGCCGAUGUCGGAUUAGCUAGUUGGUGAGGUAAUGGCUCACCAAGGCGACGAUCCGUAGCUGGUCUGAGAGGAUGAUCAGCCACACUGGAACUGAGACACGGUCCAGACUCCUACGGGAGCAGCAGUGGGGGAAUCGUUGCGCAAUGGGCGAAAGCCUGACGCAGCCAUGCCGCGUGAAUGAUGAAGGUCUUAGGA